rnacentral:lncRNA from 1 species
GGAAUUAGAACCUUCUACAAUAUAUGUUGCUACAUAAAAUACUUAUUCAUGAUCAAGAUCAGAGAAUCUGCUGAAAACAUCUACAGAAGGUUGAUGCACCAUAUAUUUGCAGAUGGGAAUGGAAAAAAAUAUCUAUAGCAAUGCAUUGAAAGAAGAGAAAAAUAUGAAUCUCUGGUUUACCUUCUACAAGGCAGUACAUGUUUCAAGAUUCUCCCCAGAAAUUCAAGUUGGGAAUGUGUUGAAAAAGUUUCAGUGUAAACACCCUCCUAGUCAUCAAUGUUGAGUUGUUUCAUAGCUUUAGAAUUUCACUGGUUUUUUUGAUGAGUUAAUUAUUGUUCCAACUCUGACAAUGCCAAC